rnacentral:rRNA from 1 species
AAGCUCAUUACAACAGCCAUAGUUUAUUGGAUCUUUACCUUCUUACACGGAUAACUGCGGUAAUUCUGGAGCUACUACGUGCAUUAAACGACGACCUUACGGAAGUCGUGCAUUUGUUAGACCAAACCAAUCGGUCUUCGGACCGCCAUUUGGUGAACUCUGAAUAACUUUGCUGAUCGCACAGUCUCGUACUGGCGACAAAUCUUUCAAGUGUCUGCCUUAUCAACUUUCGAUGGUAGUUUAUACGCCUACCAUGGUUGUAACGGGUAACGGAGAAUAAGGGUUCGACUCCGGAGAGGGAGCCUGAGAAACGGCUACCACAUCCGAGGAAGGCAGCAGGCGCGCAAAUUACCCACUCGCAGAACGCGGAGGUAGUGACGAAAAAUAACGAGGUGGCUCUCUACGAGGUCCGCCAUCGGAAUGGGUACAAUUUAAAUCCUUUAACGAGGAUCUAUUGGAGGGCAAGUCUGGUGCCAGCAGCCGCGGUAAUUCCAGCUCCAAUAGCGUAUAUUAAAGUUGUUGCGGUUAAAAAGCUCGUAGUUGGAUCUGCGUUCGGUGAAAGCGGUCGCCCGACGGGUUGUACUGCUUCUCCCGAACUAAUCAUUCGGUUUUCCCUUGAUGCUCUUCAUUGAGUGUCCUGGGUGACCGGAACUUUUACUUUGAAAAAAUUAGAGUGCUCAAAGCAGGCGAUUCGCCCGAAUAUUCGUGCAUGGAAUAAUGAAAAAGGUCCUUGUAGCCUUUUAUUGGUUAUUGCUAUGAGGAAAUGAUCGAAGGGGACAGACGGGGGCAUUUGUAUUGCGACGUUAGAGGUGAAAUUCUUGGAUCGUCGCA